AUGCCGCGGUGAAUACGUUCCCGGGCCUUGUACACACCGCCCGUCACACCACGAGAGUUGUAACACCCGAAGUCGGUGAGGUAACCUUUACGGAGCCAGCCGCCGAAGUGGGACAGAUGAUUGGGGUGAAGUCGUAACAAGGUAGCCGUAUCGGAAGGUGCGGCUGGAUCACCUCCUUUCU
rnacentral:rRNA from 1 species